ensembl:lncRNA
CUUCAGCCGAUGCGGCGGGUUGCUGAUGCUGAUCUCACGCUGGAUCUCCGUGUGACAGGGCAGACAUGAUGACGCCGCUCUUCACGUUGGCUCGGCAAGCAGCCACCUACCAGGCCGGCAUCCCGACCCAGAGCUGGGUACGGGAGACAGGAGGCAGGAGGUUAUGUGUGGCUGUGGAGGGACUGAUGCACCGGCCCAGGAAGGGGGUGCAGGUACAGAGCUCCUGAAACUGACGACGAGGCGCACAAGCUCCUUACUUGUGGGCAUCCCUCAUGUCCUCGUGACUGGCCGUGCACAGCACCCCGUCUGCAGCCAGUCCAGCCGAAGGGACCGCAGAGAGGUGGGGGUCGAGGUUUCACAUUUGAUGGUGGUCUUGUCAUCUCGUACCUCUUCCUGUAAAGCUGGCAGCUGAGGGAAUGAGGAAGAAAUGCUUUUUGUCUGCAGUGUGAAGCAAUUUAAAAGUACUGGGUGAAAAAAAAAAAAAAGUACUGGGUGUUAAAUGUGAGCUUCUAAUGAAAUUUGGGCUGAAAUGAUGACUAGAAGACGACUAUGAAAAUCUCUCCGGUAACCUAGUCUCUGUGGCCCUGGAUCCCUCGCCUCCGGUGAGACUCUUCGAGGACCAACCGCGGUGCCCUGCACCCGCUGCGGAGCCAUCGAGCUGAACACUGAGGGCACCACAUCCCGGACAGACAGACAGCAUAGUGCAGCUCUGACAAAGGCCUUAUUUUUCUUAUGUAAAUCAUCUUUUUACAUCUGUUUGUAAAUAUGUUUAAAGAAUGGACCUAGGCGUACAUUUUUAGAUUUUGAUGACAUAGCCAUUUUGGAUAGUAUAAGUAGCAAAUGUAACUUUUACUUUUUCAGCAGCACAUUAAAAAAGCUAGUAAGAGAUGCGUUCAGAUCAUGGUGCCUUAUGCAGCUGAUAUCUCGGUAGACAGAGACAGCAUGUCUCUCUACAUGUGGGUUUUGCCUUUAAUUUCCUUGUACAAUCCAUUGUUACCAUUCUGUUUUUCUAUUAAUCUUUUGUGAUCUUCCUGAAUAUGUGACAAAGUAUGUA